rnacentral:rRNA from 1 species
UUAGAGUUUGAUCAUGGCUCAGAACGUACGCUGGCGGCACGCCUAACACAUGCAAGUCGAACGAAGUAGCAAUACUUAGUGGCAGACGGGUGAGUAACAUGUGGGUAUCUACCCUUUGGCCUGGAAUAACACGAGGAAACUUGUGCUAAUACCGGAUAAGUCUUUACGGAGAAAGCUUUAUGCACCAUUGGAUGAGCCCGCACUUGAUUAGUUUGUUGGUAGGGUAAUGGCCUACCAAGACUAUGAUCAAUAGCUGAUUUGAGAGGAUGAUCAGCCACAUUGGGACUGAGACACGGCCCAAACUCCUACGGGAGGCAGCAGUGGGGAAUCUUGCACAAUGGAGGAAACUCUGAUGCAGCGAUGCCGCGUGAGUGAAGAAGGCCUUUGGGUUGUAAAGCUCUUUCGUCGGGGAAGAAAAUGACUGUACCCGAAUAAGAAGGUCCGGCUAACUUCGUGCCAGCAGCCGCGGUAAUACGAAGGGACCUAGCGUAGUUCGGAAUUACUGGGCUUAAAGAGUUCGUAGGUGGUUGAAAAAGUUAGUGGUGAAAUCCCAGAGCUUAACUCUGGAACUGCCAUUAAAACUUUUCAGCUAGAGUAUGAUAGAGGAAAGCAGAAUUUCUAGUGUAGAGGUGAAAUUCGUAGAUAUUAGAAAGAAUACCAAUUGCGAAGGCAGCUUUCUGGAUCAUUACUGACACUGAGGAACGAAAGCAUGGGUAGCGAAGAGGAUUAGAUACCCUCGUAGUCCAUGCCGUAAACGAUGUGUGUUAGACGUUGGAAAUUUAUUUUCAGUGUCGCAGGAAACCGAUAAACACACCGCCUGGGGAGUACGACCGCAAGGUUAAAACUCAAAUGAAUUGACGGGGACCCGCACAAGUAGUGGAGCAUGUGGGUUUAAUUCGAAGA